CUUCCGGCAGCACUACCAUCUCUGCGUGCACCAUUUCAACUGUACAUAUAGCCUACUCAACUUACGACCAAAUUGUGUUACGACCAGUCCGCGGUCCCGACCGUGGUCGUAAGUCAAGCACUAGAAUGCUCUAUUUAGAAUGCUUUAGUCCAAAAUUCUUUCAUUUCACCUCAUAUGUAUCAAUGAGUUGCCAAAUAACUUGAUGCACAACCCCCUCAUGACUUGUAGUUUUUAGAUCUCAUAACACCCUUAAUGACUUGGUGAUUAUAAGGCACUUUCAAGUAAUUAAACAAUCAAUAGUUACUAUUCUGGGUGAUUUGUAACCUGUAAAAUGAAACCCUGCCAGGACUACAGGCACAGAAUUUAGGGCUCUUCAUGGUUUUAACUAUUUUGUACCUGGGAAACAUUUGAGACUCUUUAAUGAAAAGAAUAACCAAUUAACUGUCCUACUGAGAUGAUAUUUCUUAUCGCUGUGGUUUAACCUUAAAUGUAAUUGUAUUAAAUCUGCUUCGAUAUUUUGCAUAUGCAAAAAAGAAAUAUCUGCUGUUUGUCAAGCAAAUGUAUACUUACUACUAAGUAGGAGCCUUGUGGGUGGUGAGGGUCUAGAAUAGGCCAUUACAACCUCUGCCUGCUGGGUGCAGUGGCCUUGGGCAGUGCUUCAAUCUUGAUCCUGUUGCUCACUUUGCAAGGCAAAGCACAGAACUACUGUGUCCAUUUUAUUCACCUCUACAACAAAGGAAGACAAGUGUAGUAGCUGGCUACACAAUUUUUUCUAAAUAAAUUAUGAAAUAUCUACCGCAAAAAUCAUAAUAACCAUAUCAUCUUUGUGGACAGCAGGGAAGAGUUAGGAAAUGAUGUGAAGAGCUCAGUCUCCUUUAAGGAGAAGGUGACUUCUUGUUUUAGAAAAAUUGCCCGUUGCUGUUUAACAUCUUUGAGUUGAUACUUUAAGUAUUUCUUGAGAAAUUCAGUUUUGAUCUGUGCACCACAUUCAGGGCUGUGGUAUGAGACCCCUAGCUGAAUUGAUCUUACUGAAACUCUUACUUUUUAGCUGUACCUCUUUCUCCUAUUGUAGAAGGUACAUAUUAUAAUUACCCCCUUAGCUAUUUUAAGUCAGGACACAAUUCAGCAGCAUUUAAGUACAUUCACAUUGUUGUGCAAUCCUCACUGCCACCAAUCUCCAGAACUUUUUCAUCAUCCUAACCUGAAACCCUGAACCUGUUAAAUAUUAACUCCCCACACCCUGUUAUUCCCACUCCACCCCAUGCCCUGAUCUCUGUUUUCAAAAAUACUGUUAGCAAACUUAAAACUUAAUUAAGAGGUGGUAGUUUCCUGGAUAAUGUCCUGCAACUCUGGACCUGCAACAAGCCUGAAAUGGGUCUGCACGUCUGUGUGCCCUUAGGUUGGCAUUCCUUGAGGUAACUCACCAACAGCCCGCUUUACUAUCUGCAGGCGAUUGACCAGCCAGCACCUGCACCGAGUUGUAGGGAGCUGAAACCAGCUGAAGCUCUUGAUUUUUCUACCCUGUGUAUAUCUAAAUAAAACAGUCCUUCCCAGGUAGACGUCCUCAAAAAAUACACAAGCAUUUUUGCAUGAAUCCUAAAAGGAUAUUGUGUGUGUUUUCUGAUAUGGUUUGGCCGUGUCUCCAGCCAAAUCUCACCUUGAAUUGUGAUAAUCCCCAAGUGUCAGAGGCAGGGCCAGGUGGAGAUAGUUGAAUCACAGGGCAGUUUCCCUCGUACCGUUCUCGUGUAGUGAGUAAGCCUCACGAGAUCUGAUGGUUUUAUAAAUGGGAGUUCCCCUGCACUAGCUGUCAGCCUGCACCGUGUGAGACGUGACUGCUCCUCAUUCACUUCCAGCCAUGAAUGUGAGGCCUUCCCAGCUGCACAGAACUGUGAGUCAAUUAAACCUCUUUACUUUAUAAGCUACCCAGUCUCGGGUAUGUCUUUAUUAGCAGUGUGAGAACAGACUAAUACAUUUUCUAUAUUAAAAUGUCUGGGCUGCAGUUAUUUUUACUGCAAUUUUACAAAUGAGAUUUUUCUUUACCUUUAAAUGUAUCAACUGUUUUUCAAAGCAGCAAAACAUUUUUCCGCCACUGGAAACUCCAGUAUUUCACUCAAUAGUGGAAUGUUCUGGGUGGAGGAUAGGAUCCACCUGAUGGAGCAUCCCUUUGCUAACACAGCACUCCCCUGAUAUUCCUCCACCUCCCUCCACGGAGCAGCCCCACACUUGAGUGGAGUCCUUAGACUCCAGGGAGCACAGUUCUACAUUCCCAGUCACAGGUCCCCAUGACGUGACCUUUGCCUCCCUCUCCAGCUUCAUCUACGGCCCAUCCCGAUUCCCACUGUGUGCCUCCAUGGUAGCACAUUGCUGGGCAUUCGUGCACGCUGCACACAGCGUCUGUUUAUCUGUGCUGUGCCCUUUUCCACCCCCUGUUGGCUAGCAACCAUACUUCAUCCUUAACACAUGGCUCGGGUAGCACCCUGCCCCGUGGGGUUUGAUAGCCUUCCCUGCCUCUUCUCUCGGUAUGCUGACCUGUCUGUCUUGUCCUCAGUCUGGCUAUCUCCUAAACUGAGCUCCUUGAGUCAGGGACAUUACCUUACUAUUACUGUAGUGCCAAUACAGAGUAGGUAGUUAAAAAUAAGUACCAAAAAAAAAA